rnacentral:rRNA from 1 species
CCUACGGGAGGCAGCAGGGGGGAAUAUUGCACAAUGGGCGAAAGCCUGAUGCAGCGACGCCGCGUGAGGGAUGACGGCCUUCGGGUUGUAAACCUCUUUCAGCAGGGAAGAAGCGCAAGUGACGGUACCUGCAGAAGAAGCACCGGCUAACUACGUGCCAGCAGCCGCGGUAAUACGUAGGGUGCGAGCGUUGUCCGGAAUUAUUGGGCGUAAAGAGCUCGUAGGCGGUCUGUCGCGUCGGAUGUGAAAGCCCGGGGCUUAACCCCGGGUCUGCAUUCGAUACGGGCAGACUAGAGUGUGGUAGGGGAGAUCGGAAUUCCUGGUGUAGCGGUGAAAUGCGCAGAUAUCAGGAGGAACACCGGUGGCGAAGGCGGAUCUCUGGGCCAUUACUGACGCUGAGGAGCGAAAGCGUGGGGAGCGAACAGGAUUAGAUACCCUGGUAGUCCACGCCGUAAACGUUGGGAACUAGGUGUUGGCGACAUUCCACGUCGUCGGUGCCGCAGCUAACGCAUUAAGUUCCCCGCCUGGGGAGUACGGCCGCAAGGCUAAAACUCAAAGGAAUUGACGGCGNGAGACGNGCGACGACGACGACGAGGAGAG